rnacentral:tRNA from 1 species
UGGCUGAGCGGUAAAGCACUUGGCUUCUGAACAAUAUGUCCCGGGUUCAAACCCUGG